GACGCGACGUCGGGCGGCGCGGCGGUGCCGCCGUAGCCGCGGAGGUCCGGCGCCACGCAGCGGUAGCCCCGCGCGGCCAGGUGCGCCAUCUGGUGGCGCCACGAGUACCAGAGCUCCGGGAAGCCGUGCAGGAACACCACCGCGGGCGCGCCGUCGCCGUCGGGGCCGGACUCCGCCACGUGCAUCGAGAUGCCGUUCGCCUCCACCGUCCGGUGCCGGACCGCCGCCGCAUCCAUGCUCGCGCCGGCUGGUGCUAGGUGCUAGCUGGUCUCGCGCGCUCUCGGCUCACGUACGGCCGGCGGACGUCGUCGUCGUCGCUCUCGCUGCCCCGGCUCCCGUUUCUCGGCCGGCCGCUGCUACUUAUCGGCAGGCUCCCGCUGGUUUCUCUGGCAAGCGGUGCGGAUGGGGAAUAUAUAAUCCCAACGAGAGACACGCACAUGACGCAACGCGGUUGGAGGUGUUGAGUAUGGAGCGAGAGCAUAUAUUUAUCUUUUGCUGUUUAGAUACAUCAUUAAUCCUUUAGUUUUAAUUUUUAUGAAUUUAUAUUAUAUAAAAUUUACCGCAUAUCAUCCAUUAUUUUAUGUUCGAAACCAGCCGCUCCUUGGCUAGAUAGAUCGGCGCGCGCGGAUUGCAUUGCAUUAGAUUAGGCCGGUCGACCCGCCGCCGUACCCCAGCUUGCCGGCGGCCGGCCGGCCGCUGUAGCAGGCUCGCCAUUCUAUUCGUUCCUGGCGAGGCUAACGCGAAUCAGAACCAGAACGAGCUGCUUAUCGGAGAUGUAUCUGGCAGCUAUGCCCUACGAACCGUACGGGGUGGCGGCGGCGCCAGUCGUGUCCUUCCCCGUUGCCGGAGCGGCCAGGGCACAGGCAGUGGUCGUCGGGCCUCUUCGACUGCUUGGACGAGUCCCGCGUCUCUGUAAGCCUAGUUAGCACCCUCGAUGUUCGUCAGCUCGAUCUUGAACUUUUGCUAGGUCGUAUAGUAGGUAGCUGAGCUCACCGGCAGGCACAGGCUGCCUGACGCACUAGUGCCCGUGCGUCACGUUCGGGCGGAUCGCGGCGCGACGUCGUGCGCGACGGGCGGGGCGCUAUACGCGCUCAUCGCCUGCCUCUCGGCGUCGCGGUGCCAGUGGGUGUAUUCCUGCACGUACCGCGCCGUGAUGCGCUCGCAGUUGGGCCUCCCGGAGGCGCCAUGCGCCCGACUGCCUCGUCCACCUAAGCGCUCUGCCAGCAGUACAGGGAGCUCAAGGCUUGGGGCCUCGAGCCCUCAACCCCGCCAUCGGCCGGGACUUGAACGAUGCCAUGUACCCGCCGCCGGCGCAGGGGAUGCGACGGCACUGAUCGGUGGAUCCCUCCAUGUAUCGGGUCCAUUUCGUUUGUUUGUUGACGACAGAUGCAGACACAGUACAAGGUGUCCACCUACACCACACGCCAGGCUGGACCACCCUCCAUAUAUAUAGGGUGAGUAAAUUGGAAGUCAUAUGCUUUCAAAUAUUAUAGAAAGACCUGACCCUUUACCCCCGACCUGGCUGAAACAUGCAUACGCCAGGCUGUCAACUGUGUCACUGCCCGUGCACCAGGUCAACCUUCCCCACGAUCAUCAGGCAAACACCUGGUCCAAAAUCAACCUCCCGCAUGGGACGCAAACCAUAAAUUGUGGUUCUGUUUUUACACAAAUAGAGUAAAACUGUCAACAUAAAUAGUGUAAAUAGUUCAGAGAGAUAGCAUAAAAACCGCGCCACAUGCUCAUGCGCAGGUGCAUGCAUGCAGAUUCUAUUUUUAUGAUAGAUCCAAUAAUUAUGACAUGGCGUGAGAAUUUUAAUUAUAUGUAAUCAAAUUUUAGAUGACAUUUUCGUUUCCAUUGCAUGCGCGCAAAAAAUUACAUGACAGGAAUGUGCGAGAUGAAAGGAAAUUGAUUGACAUAUAUGGAAACAAUAAAAUCUUAUUUUAGAUUUGUAUUUUAUUCAUAAAUAUAUGAUCGCUCGAACAGUCAUGCAGCUAGUCUCGUUACAACCAGUUAUGCAAUAUGGAACGCUGCAUAAAAACUACCACGAGGUACACUAGUAGACGUAUCUCCAGAUUCGAGCGUAAAAACCUUAAGUUUUGAGCAUGAAACCCCUCAGUUAUGUGCGUAAAUAUCGAGCCAUGUGAGAGAGGUUGAUAACUCUAAUGCGUUGUAUGUACGAUCCUAUUUUAUGGUAGAUCCAAAAAAUAUGAGUCAAAUGCAUGUGGUUUCUUUUUUAUGCAAAUCCGAAAAUUAUGGAAGAUCGUGUGAGUUUACAUUGCAUGCGCAUAAAUUUUGGAUGUUAUUUUCAUUUCUACUACACGCAUGCAAAAAAAAUAGAAUGACAUGAUUCACGCAGAGCAUAAAUUCUUAUAUAAAGUUGCAUAAAUACAUACACUAUGUAGCGUAAUUGAUAAAAAAAUCGCAUACAUAAAAAUCAUACUUCAUCAUCGUAAAAAUUAUCACUGGAAUGCAUAAAUAUUGUAAGUAGCGGGUAUAAAACAUAAUCAUCGAUGACAUAAACAUGGAUCGGAUAGUUCGCCGCUGGAGAAUGAUCCCGAGACCGCUACAUCAAAGGAUGCCUCAGAGGCCAUCGGGUAGAAGGUGGUCGUCGAAGGAGGACGCCCUCCGAUGCGCCACACCCGAGGAGAUCGUUGUCUUUGGAUGACACCACAGACGGUCAACGCAACCAUCACCGCUCGCGCCUUGAAAGGUCAUCACCACCGCCGCAGAUCGCGCCUCGGGAGAUCGCGAUCGCCCCAACCGCUCGUGCCUCGGCAGACGCGGUCAUCGCUGCUCGCGCUUAUGGUCGUCACGGCCGCCACAACGCUCACGUCUUGGGCCGCCACUCGACGACAUCGUCUUGGGCCGACGUUGCCUGGGAAUGCCUCUCGCGUCUCACAAUGCCGCUCGCGUCUCGCGUCGCAGCCUGCAGGAAGUCGUCAUCGACGUCCGGUCGCCGCUCGCCUCCUCUAGCACCUCACGCAGUUGCAGCCGCUAUGAGGCCUCGAAACCUUAAUUCCUAGGGGUCUAGGGUGUUUUUAUAGACGCUCGUACGUGAUCUGGCUCAACCGAAAGGCACGUCGGGCCUAGGCUUCUGGUAGCUAUUGGACAUGGUAUAGUUUCCAACAUAGAUGCCAGUAUGCCACUGUUGAUCGUCCGACAACAGUACACGGUCACCGGUACAAGCAUUGUACAUUUAAAUUACGAAACGCAUGGUUUAUCCAUUUCACAUCGAACAUACCAUGUCCAAGUCACAAAUUAAACCAGACAUAUAUGCGAACACUUAUUACUCUUAGUUCGAAAAACAAAACAAGUUGGCAGCACGGAUAUCGAGGUUGAGAUUACAGGCUUUAGCAGGUAAGCAAGCAAGCUGAUGGUCGAUCCAUGCACAUGUAUCAGAACUUGGAGAUGAAGUCGUAGAUGUGCUGGCUGACCUCGUCGGCCUUCUCCUGCUGGACGAAGUGGCCGGCGCCGGGGAUGACGACGACGCUCUCGAGCCCCGGGACGUCGGCCUCGAACCCGCCCUUGUGGAUGUAGUCCUGGAUGCCCGGGUAGUGGUAGGUGAGGUCGCCGUCGCCGACGAUGAACCUGGUGGGCACCCGCACCUUGGCGUCCGCCCACGGCGCCGCCAGCUCCCAGUUGCGGUCCAUGUUGCGGUAGUAGUUGAUGGGCCCCGUGAAGCCCGUCCGCUCGAACUCCGACGCGAAGUGGCCCACGUCCUCCUCCGUCAGCCACGGCGGCAGCGGCUCCUCCUCGGCGGCGUCCGCCGGCGGUCGCUUGUCGUCGCCGGCCGCCGAGGAGGUGAAGCGGUUGCACAGGAUCCGCUUCAUCAGGUACCCGGCGUUGGCCGGCGAGAACUCCUUCUCUGCGACACCAGGCUCCUGCAGUUCACUACUUAGUUGUUAGUUGUAAGGAAGGAGAUCGAAGAAUCCUCUCCAUAUGCAUGCAUGCACAAAAAAAAAUGAUUUCGUUCCAUGAUCCCUCCCCCUCUCUAUAAAUGUCAAUUCCGGCCGCAUUCUCACGUACCGAUCGACAAACAACAAAAGCAGCAAUGGCGCCGGUUAUCCUUGCCAUGAACGUGCACUGCUACGGCUGCGCCGGCAAGAUCCGCGAGGUCGUCAAGAACCUCCUCGGUACGUAGCGUACGCGCCGGCGGCAAUUAAUCCAGUCCCCACGCAUCCUUGGAUCCUUACUGCUGUACUAGUAGCAUAUAUAUAUAACUAAUGCCUAUAGCUUGCUCGUCGUCGUCGAUCGCCGGACCACCGCGCGCGCGUACAUGCAGGGGUGGAGGAGGUGUGGGUGUCGGUGGACACGGGGCUGGUGGUGGUGUCCGGGACGUCGCUGGACGCCUGGCUGCUACGGUGUCGGAUCCAGAACAGCACCCGGAGGCCCGUCACCGUCGUCAGCGACGUCGCCGCGGACACGGCGCCGGAGCCGCAGCACGCCGCGCCGCCGCUUGGUGGGUACUACCCGCAACACCACUACAGCGGGGUGCUGCACAUGGCCCCGCCGCCUCUUCCGGCCGGCGCCUAUCCCUACUACUACUACUACGGCAGCGGCGACGGCUGGGUGCCCGCGCCGCCGCAGCACCUGCUCCAGUACGUGCCGACGACGACGACGGUCGACGGCUACUUCCCCUCGCGCCAGUACGUGCCCAACCUGGCCCCUGUGUGCUUCAACGACGACAACCCCAACGGCUGCUGCGUGCAGUGACCGACAUCGGUCGGGCUAGUCGAUCGGUGGUCGCCGGCGGCCGGCCGGCCGACGACAAAUUGUUUGUCUGGAUUGUAAGAAUUCUUUUUAUUUGAAUAGCUACGUACUAAUAAAGAUCUCGAAAUAAAAAGUUACCAAAGGUACCUGGAAGCGGCAGAUGUAGUAGGUGGGCCCGUAGGUGCGGUGGAAGUAGUCGAUGGGCGUGACGGCGGCGGCGGCGGCGCGGACGAAGAUGUGGCGCAUGAAGGCGACGCUGGUGUUGACAAGCGCCGCCACCCGGUCCGGCCGGAACAGGCAGAGGUACCACGCGAUGAUGGCGCCCCAGUCGUGACCCACCACGAACACCUGCUUCGCCAUGCAAUGCAAACAUCUAUCCGAUCCGUGAAGAAGCGAAAUCAAAUCAAACACCGAUGAUGAGAUCAGGCACAAACAUUGAUUAUUGCUCCAUUGUGUCACCGAUGAGAGAUCAGGCAAUUAUUUGAUAAGCAUGCAUGCUAGCUAGUUUGAUUACAUAUGUGCACACGCUAAAUUGAUGAUGCUGAUGCUACAACCACCGCUUUAUUCUAUCGUACAUGUAACAUGUGCGUUUUAUACACAUAUUCUUGGAUAUUCUCGGAUGCCUGGCCAUACGCUGCACCACUUAGGGAUAGAAAGAAAGAAACUUAGGGGUGUUUGGUUUGAGGAAUCACUACAUCCAAAAUAUAGUGGUGCAUCAUGGGUCCAUUCCUUAAAUUUGGUGGGAUGACCUCAUUCCUUAUAUUACUACUAACUAACUAACUAUGAGGAAUGAGGUGAUGAUGGAUCAACUCAUUCCAUUCCACAAACCAAACAAAAAAAGUGAGGAAAGUGAGGAGUGAGAAGAUAAUGAACUAACUCAUUUCUCAAACCAAACAGCCUAUUAACUAGCUUGGUGUACUGAUUAGACUCACCAGAUUACAGUAAAAUGAACUUAGUUUAACUUUAACUUAAUUAGCUUGUUACUUUAACCUCGGAACAAAAGGCUGGAUAGCAAACAAUACGUACGUACGGGAGAUCGUAAUUAAUAAAAAAAUCAAAUUUAAUUUCGAAGAAACACGGAUGCGAAGAAUUCCAUAUUAUUGGCUUAUUAUUAGUUUUAAGAUGAGUAGAUGAUUUUUAUCAGUUUUAGAAUUAUUGUUUUAGUUAGUUUUCAAAAUUAAAAAAAAUUAUAGAAGUAGAGGCGUUUGUAUAUAUGUUCACACACUUCACAGAGGAUGGAUGAGUACGAAGUGUGUUAUAGGCUUAUAGCAGUAGUACACACGAGAGGAAUUGAAGAAGUCAACGUUGAUACGGAAAAGGAAGGACCUUGUUGUGGAUGCCGAGCGCGUCGAGCAGGGCGACGACGUCGCCGACGACGUGGAAGGCGGAGUAGGACGCGACGUCGGGCGGCGCGGCGGUGCCGCCGUAGCCGCGGAGGUCCGGCGCCACGCAGCGGUAGCCCCGCGCGGCCAGGUGCGCCAUCUGGUGGCGCCACGAGUACCAGAGCUCCGGGAAGCCGUGCAGGAACACCACCGCGGGCGCGCCGUCGCCGUCGGGGCCGGACUCCGCCACGUGCAUCGAGAUGCCGUUCGCCU
rnacentral:lncRNA from 1 species